rnacentral:misc_RNA from 1 species
GAUGAAGAACGUAGCGAAAUGCGAUAAGUAAUGUGAAUUGCAGAAUUCAGUGAAUCAUCGAAUCUUUGAACGCACCUUGCGCUCCUUGGUAUUCCGAGGAGCAUGCCUGUCCGAGCGUCAUUUGCAACCCUCAAGCCCGGCUUGUGUGAUGGGUGCCGUCCCCUACGGGACGCGCCCCGAAGGCAAUGGCGGCGUCGCGGUUAUCCGAUCAGCCAAAGUGUAUGGGGCUUUGUCACUCACUUUACGGCCCGGACCGGCGCCAGUCCGAAUCAAUCUUUUUUUCUAAAGUUGACCUCGGAUCAGGUAGGGAUACCCGCUGAACUAAAGCAUAUCAAUAAGCGGAGGA